GCAGGCUCAGCUGAGAGAGAGGAAAGCCGCACUUGAAACCUCCCGGGCUGAUGCUUACAAGUCCAGGGUUAAGUAUACAGUACGCUAUUAACGGUCCCACCACCUCUACUCUGUGUGUUUCUCUGCACAGGCCCGGUGCACCCAAGAUGUGAUCUUCCCAGAUGUCCUUCACUCCGUCGCAGGGACACCAGAGACCCUGGGUGCAUCCACAGCGGAGGACGAAAGCCAGGCCCCGGGCGACGACUUCUCCACCCUCCGGUCUUUGAGAUCUCCACCCAGAACUGCACUGGCAGCGAAGGAAUCCUAGGCUUUUUCAACGCUGAUGGCCUGCACCCCAGGAGAGUCGGAGCAGAACUCCUGCCGAAGAACAUCUCCAGGAUGCUUCACAAUAUAAUAUGACUAGUAAACCAGUUCUUGAACUGCUAUGAUGGCUUAUGUUCUACCCACAUAAAUGAUAGAAGCACUUGCACUGUCCAAUCCAUUAA